AGCCGGCCUGAGAGGGCGGACGGCCACAUUGGGACUGAGACACGGCCCAGACUCCUACGGGAGGCAGCAG
rnacentral:rRNA from 1 species